AUUAAAACAACCAGGAAUUUAUGGAUAUUUCCCAUAGAAAAAUACCUUGUGAAAUAGGCGAAUUUUCCAGAAUAAUGGGGUAUAUGUUCCAGAGAGAAAUCCGCGAAUCUGAAGUUUGUGAAUACAGGUGUUCACUGUAUAUUUCAUAAUGAAACAAUAAGAGGAGGAUAAUACAUGCAUGCAAAAUAUAAUUGGGUACAGUAAAUAAACCAACAAUUUUAUUACAAUUAUCAUUAUUUUUAAAUAUGUGUAAUAUUUUACAAAUGCAAAUGUCUAUACAGUACACUGUUGGUAUUGUCAGUGUAACAGCCUAACCGGGUAGAAAAAAAAAAAGUCUGGCUGCAUCAUACCCAAAUUAAUCAAGGUGACUUAGAUCGGGUUUGGGCGUGCUAAACACACUUAUGACUGAUGCUCUACCCUCAACAGAAAAAAAUUUUGCUUUUGAGUUUUGGAUGAAGGAUUGUAAACCUGUACACAAAAUUUUGUCUUGAAUAUGCUUUGCUAAAAUGGGUGCUCAACUUGUAUGCUGUCAAAUAUGGUAUGCUUAUUUUUUCUUAUGAACAUUUGAUACCUGCCUGGGGCACUGUCAGAAAUGCUUUGUUUAUUAUGAAAUAGAACUUCAAGUGAAAACAAUCAUGAGUUUAUAGUCAGUAGAGCGUGAGAUGAGGAAAUUCAAUUUUGGUUUUUUAUUUGUUGAUGGACCAAAAUUAAGUUUGCUGAAUAACUUUUAAAGUUAAGGAAAUAAUGUCGAAUCACAUUUAGCUUGGAUUUUUAGAUGAAUCUCAAUAGCUAGUCAAUUUUAUCAGUCUUUUAAUAUAUAGUGACCAAAAAAAUGUAGGUUUUGGAAAUAUGUAUACCAUUUUUACAAAACAUAUGACAAGAUUAUGUAUAGCAGUUGCUGUUUGCUUUAUGUGUGAGUAAAAUGAAGAACUGUUGUUUCCUAGGCUGAAAAAUACUUCUUACAGACAUGACCCAUUUGGUUGUUCUUUACAAUCCACUGUCAUUUGUCAUUUCAUGUUCGUCCUUUUAUAUUCUUUCCUAAUACCCACUACUGUUACUUUAAGGCCUGGUGUUGUACCCAUAUAAAAGGAAUAUUUUUCUGAAAGGUAUUAAAGUAGUUGAUAGAUAAUGAUUUGCCAGUUCCUGCAAGCAUUUUUACUUUCUUUUAGUCUUAUUCACUCUUGAUUUCGUAAUUCAUACAUCCAAAUAUUUUUAUGCUCAAGAGUGCCACAUCUUAGUACUGCUAUAGCUUUACAUCCCACAAGGAUCACACAAAGGUUCUGAAGAACUUGGUUACACAUUUAAUAAAUUUAGUGAUUGACAAUAAUAAAACAAUAUAGUACCUACCUACCUUUGCCUUAAAUAUAUCUAUGAAAUUAGUAAAAUGAAAUGACUUACAUAUACUGCAUUUGUAUCUGUGGUAAUUGUUGGUUUUAUUGAUAGGUGUGUACUUUCUUUACAAAGCAUAGAAGUUAAAUGUUUUAGACAGGUUAUUAGAAAAAUAUGUCCAAUAGAAACUAUGAAAGCAAUCUCAUUCAGUAGAAAGUAAUACAGUAGCUACAUUAAUCAAAUAUAAAUGGUCAUAGUUAUUUUUAUAUUCAGCAGAAUUUUUAAUACAUUUAUAUGAUUAUUGCAAAACUCCUGGUGACAAAAAUAAUUUGAGAAAUAUUACAGUAGAGCUCUGGAGGGAUGACACAAUUUCUUACAGUAAUACUAGUUAUUGGCAAUUUUCAGAUAUUUGUGUAAUAAUACUUAUGGGAAACUUGAAACUUACAUGUUAGUGUCAAAAUCUAAGGGUUACACGUAUUAGUAUAAAAGAUGGUAUGCAGUAUAUUUUUCAUAAAUGAUAUGAGCUGAUACAGUAUAGCUAGAAUUUUUUUACGAUGAAUAUGUGAUCGUUAUAAUUAAUAGGAUUUUAAGCAUUGUAAUCUAAGUACAUUAUUUUUAGUAUGUAUUUUGCAAACAUUUUCAAGGUAAUUUGGGAAUUAUUCUAUCUUAGCAUGUUCAUAUAGUUCAGUACAUAUUUGUAAAUAAUCAAGAACAGCAUACAAAGAACUCAUUGGUGUAAUAGCAGGCAAUGACUCUGCUUACUUGCAUGGCUGCAUGAUUUGAUAAGUAACUCAAACUUCAGGUGCUUAAAAUUAUUAGACCAUGCUAUAGUUAGUCAAAAAAACCUGAUUGAAGUUUAGGUUUAGGCAAGAGAUUUCUGCUUAGGCAGUUUGCAGCAUUUAUCAUAAGUUGAUAUAUAAUGCCUUUAAAUGAAGGUCUCAGGAAGAGGACGCUCAAGUACGUAUUAGGAGUUGGAUAUGUGCAAAAUAAAAUUUUUGCACAUAGUAUAUACAUAUGGCUUUCGUCACUGUGGACUCUUAACUGAUUUGAGUAGAUAUUUGAAAAAUUUUGGUUACCUAUAACAUUGGGUUUUAAUCAAGUUAGCAGAUAUGAACAAUGAUUCCAAAAGUUUUCACCAUUUAGUAUAGGAUUACAUAAUUAGUAGUCGUGAAAUACCAUGUGAU